CCAGACUCCUACGGGAGGCAGCAGUGAGGAAUAUUGGUCAAUGGACGAGAGUCUGAACCAGCCAAGUAGCGUGCAGGAUGACGGCCCUAUGGGUUGUAAACUGCUUUUAUAAGGGAAUAAAGUGAGCCUCGUGAGGCUUUUUGCAUGUACCUUAUGAAUAAGGACCGGCUAAUUCCGUGC
rnacentral:rRNA from 1 species